UUUCAUAGUUAAAGAGGAUAAUUUACCCUGUAGUAAGUGUGUCCUAUCUUCACAACCUUUUAUCCUUGUCAAAGUGUCUAGGCAGUAACUUUCUAUCAGAACAGGCUUCCUGUAUGAAUAGCCAGGAGCUUUUAUUUUUAUAAAACCACUAGGCAAUAUCUAUGAAGAUUAGGCAUUGCAGUGGUGCUGCCUAUGUUGCUUCCCUGUCAGUCCAGAACAGAAGCAAGAAACCUGCCCCACCACUUUCUUCUGCUUCACCUAGGCUCAAGCCCAGCAAGUAGGAGAAAUCAACAGCUUGGAGGGGUUUCUAAGCACAUGACAGAAUUUGAGCAGCGCUGAGCCUGCACACACCCAACCUCCUCCAAGCUAUUUCUUCCCCUCAAUUGACGGGCUCUGAUGGAACAAGGGCAAGUUGAUAGAGCUUGCUUCACAGCAGUGGCUCUAGACUUAAUGUGGAGCUAGUACAAUCACAAGAAACAUGAAUCUGGCAGGGAAAGGGAAGGGAGGGGGAAGACUGCAUACUAAGCAGCUAGCAAAUGCCAAUAAGGCACUGAGCUCAGUAUCAGGAGUGCCUUUGAAACUUCCUCUCCUAAUUCUAACAAAGGCUCUUGCAAUUUUUUCCAAGUCAAAUUCAGCUCCAAGGGUAAACAGUCCUACACAUCUCAGACAUCUUCAGGAAACUAUCACAGUAGUCCAAAGAAGGUCUAAACUUAAAACAGGUUAGACAAGUUCUUCCAAAAGUAGGUUUUCCAUUCUACUACGUAUAUACCUUCACUGAUUUGGACACUCACCCACCACAUCCAAAUUGCCUUCUCCAGAACAAGGACAUUUAAUUUAUGGCAAGCCAUCAAGGACACAGAGAAUAAAAGCAAACUAUGAAAGCUUUAACGUUCAUCCUACACAGAUGAGUAAGUCAACCACCACCCAUUGUUAAAUGGCCAGAAAGUGGGAA